AUUGAACGCUGGCGGCAGGCCUAACACAUGCAAGUCGAGCGGAUGAAGGGAGCUUGCUCCUGGAUUCAGCGGCGGACGGGUGAGUAAUGCCUAGGAAUCUGCCUGGUAGUGGGGGACAACGUUUCGAAAGGAACGCUAAUACCGCAUCCGUCCUACGAGAGAAAGCAGGGGACCUUCGGGCCUUGCGCUAUCAGCUGAGCCUAGGUCGGAUUAGCUAGUUGGUGAGGUAAUGGCGCACCAAGGCGAACAUCCGUAACUGGACUGAGAGGAUUAUCAGUCACCCUGGAACUGAGACACGGUCCAGACCCCUACGGGAGGCAGCAGUGGGGAAUAUUGGACAAUGGGCGAAAGCCUGAUCCAGCCAUGCCGCGUGUGUGAAGAAGGUCUUCGGAUUGUAAAGCACUUUAAGUUGGGAGGAAGGGUUGUAGAUUAAUACUCUGCAAUUUUUACGUUACCGACAGAAUAAGCACCGGCUAACUCUGUGCCAGCCGCCGCCGUAACAC
rnacentral:rRNA from 1 species